UACGUAGGGUGCGAGCGUUAAUCGGAAUUACUGGGCGUAAAGUGUGCGCAGGCGGCUCCGCAAGUCGAGUGUGAAAUCCCCGAGCUUAACUUGGGAAUUGCGCUCGAAACUACGGAGCUGGAGUGUGGCAGAGGAAGGUGGAAUUCCACGUGUAGCGGUGAAAUGCGUAGAUAUGUGGAGGAGCACCGAUGGCGAAGGCAGCCUUCUGGGCCAACACUGACGCUCAUGCACGAAAGCGUGGGGAGCAAACAGG
rnacentral:rRNA from 1 species